ensembl:lncRNA
CGGCCGCACACGCUCCCUUUCCAGGCUGGGUUUAGGGGACUUCUCUCUGCCUCCGGUCGGCCGGGUCUCCCAGUCGUGCUCUGAUUCCGGCUAGAUCUCAUCUCCCGGUUCCCUGUGUCUCUCGUCUCCUCUGUGUGUGGCCCGGCCUCUCCCUGUCCUGCCCUCAUCUACACUUUCUAGCAGACCCCACCUCUGUGGGUUGGGAUAGGACUUCUUCCUUCCAGCAAAUUGGAGGCCAGGACGUGUCCAGACCAACCUCAGCCCAAGUUUGCCCCAGAAGGAGGGCGGGGAGGACUACCUGGUAGGAUUAGGGGAGGUUACUCCGGAGGCCCACAGAUUCUUCUGGGAGAGGAGUGACUGAAUGGGACCCCUUAAAUUCCCAGAUUAGGACUGAAGGCAGCUCCCCACCCCCCCUUUGCUUCUGAGCCCUUUCUCCAGGAGGAUGUUUGGGGAGAGCCUGACCUGGGUUGGGGCUUCGGGCAGCUGGAAGUCCCUGGAAGAACUGCUCAGCUACUGAAGGAUGAGGGUGGGGCCCCGGGGCACCCAGAGCACUGGCAGCAGAGCCCCAGAGGCUACUUACUGCAUGCUCCCACCUUCACCCCAGUUACAAGCUGGGGACUGGCCUUGGCAGAAGGCUGGGGGUGGGGAGGGGAUCAACAGGAGGCCACCAGAAGACUUUUCAUGGAGGGGGCGUGAGGGAGGGUGGAGGUAUAAGUGACAGACUCUCAGGUCUAAGGGGGCACUCAGUGGGGUCACUCUCUGCCUUCAGGGUCCUUCUGAGUGUCAGAGAAACAGACACCUCAGAAAUAACUCCUGCACCGCAGCUGUCCAGUGUAUGUAAACAAGGUGUUAAGAGCACCGGUGAGGUGGGAGUUAGGGGAAGAAGGGCAUUCCGAAGCUGUAGGGAGCGCGGAGAGGAGGGACAGAAGGGGACUUCGGGGAUCCUAUAGGCUUUUCGUGCAGCAGAGCUGGGUUUGAAGCCUGGCCCUGCCAUUUCCUUGCUAUGUGACCUUGCAUGAGUCAUUUCACCUCUCUGAGCCCCAGGUUCCUCCUUUAUCAAUAAUCCAGAUCUUACAGGCAUUAGCAGAAUCAAAUGAGCACUGAGUGUGCAGUGACCGGAAUGGUAGCUGGUCUGGGAACAGGCCAGCAGGGGUGCAUUAAGAAGGGAAUGGGGUGAGGAAGCCCUGAGGUUUCCUCUGUGUAUACAGAAGAGUCAGGCAGGACCUGCCAGGUCCCUGGCAAUGUGGGAUACGGGUGGAGUGUCUUGUGUGGGUGACACCCAUCUAUUUUCUGAUCAGCCCAUCCCUGAACUGCCUAGACCAGGCUAGUCUCCCUCCUGAAGGCCCCAGGUACCAACAGAAGCUCCCAGCUGCCCCAGUCCUUAGGCCAGUGGGAAUGGGGCCGUGGCAGGGCAAAGCCAGCACCCUGUUUGCAAAAUGGACACUGGCCGGGAGCCUGGCUGGCUGUGCCAGACAGGAACAUCCCAGCCUGGCUGGGAAGAUGCUGACACUAUAGAGACCUCUGGAGGCCCAGAGCGCUGCUGGCUGGAGUUGGGUGCUGCUGAUAGGAUCUGAGACAGAGGCUGGCCAGGGUGGGAGCAAGGAAGGGAGAUGCAAAGAGAGACCCCCUGGAGGGGGAGCCUGAGCGGAGCUGCGGAACCAGAGAGGAAUUUCAUGUGGUUAUUCCCCAAGCCUUCCCAGAGCACCUCCUGUGUGACGUGUAUGGCUCUGCUAGCCAAAGGGCUGAAUGUGCUGUGCUGUGCUUAGUCACUCAGUCGUAUCUGACUCUUUGCAACCCCAUGGUCAAUAGCUGACCAGAAUCCUCAUUGGGAUUCUCCAGGCAAGAAUAUUGGAGUGGGUUGUCAUGUCCUUCUCCAGGGGAUCUUCCCAAGCCAGGGAUUGAACCCAGGUCUCCCCCAUUGCAGGCGGAUUCUUUACUGUCUGAGCCACCAGGGCCGAAUAGGAUACCCAUGAAAGGCUCACCGUGGAGGCCAUGGUGGCCUGAGAUUUGUUGGGGGUUUGUGGAGUAGACCUUUAUGACAGUCCCCUGGGGCAUGUGUCACUUGGAGUUUCUCCAGGGCCUAAGAUUCUGAUGUUGGUUAAUGGGGCAGGAGUCUACUCCCUGAUCAUCUGUGGGCAGUCACUUUUCUCUCCAGGGUCUCAGUUUUCUCUUUCUGGGAAGGAACAGAGAGUCUCUAAGAUCUUCCAGCACUCAUUACUGCAGCCCCCAGGACCUAGUUUGGGACAAUCCUCACCCCACGUGAGGGGAGGGGAGAGAAUGGGGAUAAAGGGCAAAGUUGAGUGUAACGGGCACUCAAGUCCUGUUCUUGGCCUAUGUUCUCGAAUCAUAGAACUGUAGCCUCUUGAGCACUUGUGCAGGGUGCAUUGUGCCAAGCCUUUCAUAUGCAACAUUACGUAUUUCUCAUAAUCCCAGCAUCCUCCUGAGGGACUAGGUAUUAUCCCUAUUCAGGGAGGUGAAUUGACUUGAGCAGAGUCACAUAACUAGGAAGUGAUUGGGGAUUCUAAGCCAGGUCUGUCUGACUCCAAAGCUCAGGUUCAGCUACAAGAGGGUGACUCCACCCAGUAGGUACUGAGGCACCCACAUUACUUAACCCUUACUUGCAGAACCUGCCUGACCCCUGCUGGGUGAGCUCAAAGCAAGCUCUUCGAUGUUCAGGCUAGGGAGGUGGGGGACAGGCUGUGUGGGUACGCUCUGGGCCCAGUGAGCAGGGGUGGGGUAAGGAACAGGAGGAGCAACUUGUGGGUCAGGGCCUCACAGGGAGCUUCUCCAAAGGGCCAGCCCCACCUGACUAUGCUCAGUGCAAGAGCUGGGCAUGAAAGGCACCCUGGGGCAUGUGGCCAAUUUGGACCUCAGUUUCUCCAUCAGUAAAGCACGGGUUUGGAGUCGUUGAGUACAGACAUUCCUUGGCCUGUGGGUGAGUGGCUGAAGUUGGCGAUAGGGUCAAGGGUUAGAGGAGGGGUCAGGUAGCAGUGACUGAGCCUGUGGAGGGAAAGCUUGGAUCCUGGGCUGGCUGUUUGACAUUUGAAAGGCUUGGCACAAGGCGCCAUGCACAGUAAGUGCUCAGGAGGCUGCAGUUCUAAUUAUGAUUCGAGAUUUCAGAUGAAGGGACUGAAGCUGGAGAUGUUCAAAGGCUUGUCUAGGACUGGACACAUAGUAUUGCAGAGACUGAAGGGAAAAAUGGAAGGGAGAGCAAAAUCCAGGCAGGUGCCAGCUAGAAUCUUGGCUCAACCACUUAACUUGGUUUGGAGAUGUGAAAUGAGGGCCCAAGAACACACAGAGUAGAGUCCCAUCACCUCACUGUCUUCAUCUAUAAAAUGGGAAUAGUAAUAAUUCUGUCGUUGUCCACUUUCUUGGUUACUGGAAAGGUCAAAGGAGAAGAGAUGUUUGUGGAAUCAGGUGAGAAGGUGGGGGCUGGUUAUUUUUCAGUUCAAAGCUGCAGUUCUAGGUGUAUGUUUGUGGGGAGGGAGCGUUUCUGACAGCAACUCUGCCGAGAUGCUCUAUCCUGAGGUUGCACUGGAGAACAGUCCUAUUUAUGUCACCAAUAAAUGUCACCACUAUUUAUUGAGUAAUUAGUUACCAGACACCAGGCACUGGGCUCAGAGCUUCACUUCUCAUCUCCUUUCAUCUCUACCUUCUCAGGCCAAUGGUGGCCUGACCCACACUAGAGGUCUCUGAAACCCAUGCCUACAGCUCCCUAUGGUAACAGUAGCUAACAUUUCUGAAGAGUUUACUCUGUUACUGUGUGCCAAACAUUCUUCAAAAUGCUUUACAUCUAUUAACUCAAUCUUCACAACAACCCUGGAGGUGGGUACUAAUACCUUCCCCAUUUUACAGAAGAAUAACUGAGGUGCAGAGAAAUGAAGAAAUAGGCCUGGUAUCACAAAGCUAGUAUGUCGUAGAGCCAGGGUAUGGAGCCAGGUUCUCGAGUCUCCACCUUGAAGCGCUCAUCACAAUUGCAAUUCAGUUAUUGUAAGAUUGCCUCCUCAUUGACUGUAGGUUCCAUGAGGGCAAGGACUGACACCUGGCACACAGUAGGUGCUCAGCUAAUGUUUGUGCAUAGGGAUCCUGCUGCUUCCAGUGGGCUGGGCCCUGGGAAACCUCAUGAGCUCAGGGUAGAUUAUCAGAUUGCUGACUAAGGGAGUAUCUGUCCCAAAGAGCCCGAGUCAGAGGGAGGGCAGGGUUUCCCUGGGCCCACGCUCAGGCCGAAGAGGGACCCCGAAGACGUGUUUGCUGGCUGUGCUGUGUCUCACUGCUGUCUUUUCCUUCCAUGUGUCACCAUGGCGAUGGCUCCACGGCUUCUCCCUGACGGCUGCGGGAUCUCGAUCUGGGUGAGUACUGGUUCUGCUAAGGAACGGCCACUGGGAGGUAUAAAGGGAAGCCUGGGGUGGGAGAGGAAGAGACGAGGGAGGGUCCUAACUCUGAAGUUAGGAUCCUGUCGCAACCAGCUGACUUCUCACGGGAUGCCUGGCAUGCUGAUGUGGUGAUUUUUGGGUCACGUGACACAAUGCAAAGGUCUCCGGGGCAGACUGGCCUGGACUAGAAUCCUUACUCUGCCGUGUGCAAGCUAGGCGGCUCUUUGCGUCUCGGUUUUGCCUCUGUGAGGUGGGAAUAUUAACGCCUGCCUGAUACAAGCAUGUUUGUUGUUUUCUUUGUGUGAACCCCACAAGCGGCCGGGAUGUUUGUUCUGCUCACUGCUGUCCCCCAGCACUGAGGAUAGAAUGGCUCAUAGUAGAUGUGCAGUGAAUAUUUCUGAAUGAAAGCACAUAUGAAUUCGGAGUCACGGUGCACCCAUCAAUGUGCUUUGUAUUGGAUUAAAAGGCUAACACAUGUGAAGUGCCCAGCAUUAUAGGGGCUCAGUGAACGUGAGUCCUCGCUUUGCUCCCAAGAUGGUGAAUUCCUUGGGGUCAGGUCUCUGUGAGCCCUGAGUCCUCUGAACUGAGUGUGGGGUCAAGUACCAAGCAGGCAUCAGGGAGCAGAGCGAGUGGCCUAUAGGCAGCUAGACUCAGGGCCUCUGCUUAGGUCUGGGGAAUGAAUGGUGGAGCUUCUGGAUUUCAUCAGAAGGGUGGAGCUGCUUGCUGGGGAGAUCUAGGGCUUAAGGCGGGAGGGAUGAGGAGGGACUCUGCCUCCCAAGACUGCCAGUUUCCUAGCUGUGUGACCUCAGACAAGACACAACCCUCUCUGAGUCCUGGAGACCUCAUCAGAGACAUGCAUAUCCUAACACCUGCCCCACGUGGGCAGUGGGAGGAGCUAGUGAGAAGUGCUGGGCACAGGGCCCUGCUUGGUAACUGUUGGUUUCCUCCCCGCCCUGGGCUCAUUCUGGGAGGGGACAAAGUAAAGGGUUCCUCUUUUUGGCUCUUUUCUCCUACUUUAAACUUCCCACCCAGGAGGAACUAGAAUCUAGGAGUCAGGAGCCCCAGCCUCCCCAGUAGGCUGGCCAGGGUCCAGGGAUAAGGGCUGGCUUCUGCCCAGUGUGGGAGUGGCUGAGCGGAGGACUCAGCUCUGCCAUUUUUUUUGUUGUUGUGUGACUUGAUUCAAUAACCCACCAUCUCUGGGCCUCGGUUACCUCACCUGUUAAAACAGGGUGAGUAAAACAUACUCCCCUCAAAGGAUUAUUCAGUGAGCAAAUGGGUGGAGCAGGGACUAUUCUCAUUGUUAGUCUUUGGCCCUGGCUGAGGAGGCUGCAGUGAGGGAGCCUGGAGAAUUGCAUCCUACCUUGGCCUGGGGAUAGUACAGAUUCGAGUCCUCAUAUGUACUGUUGCCGGUUAUUGGAUUUUUUUAUAUGCUGGGCUGGUUGUUUUAUGUUAUUCUAGACACAUUAUUUUAUCUAGUCCUCCCAGUGACCCUAUGAGGUAGGCAUUAUGGCCCCUACUUUAUGGAUGAUGUAAUUGGUGCUGAGUAAAUCAAGUGAGUUACAGAGUCACAGAGUUAUUUGGGGGUGGAGAUGGGGCUCAGAUCCAAGGCUGCUCACCCCACGGCCACAGUUCUUCAUGUGAGACUCACCUGCCCCACGAAGAUAGAGGCUGGGUCUGAGUCCUUUCUGUCUGUCUGCAUCACCCAGCACAGGGUUGGUGGGGGCUGCUGGACUCUUUGCUACGCGCACACACACACACACACACACACACACACACACACACGCACAUGCGCGCGCGCGCAUGUCACCCCGCCCACUCUGGUGCUCCAAAAGUAUUGAAAGGAGAGAACAGAAAGCCAAAGGCCUGAUAGCGUUGUAGUUGAGAGUCAGAUAGACCUGGCUUUGAAUCCUAGAUCUGUUGCUUUCUAGUUGUGUGACCUUGGGCAAGACAUUUAACCUUUUAGAACCAUACUGUCCUUAUCUGUAAAAUGGGAAUAAAGAAAGAAACUGCCUACCUCUUAAGAAUUCUUACGAGGAUUAAAUAAUGCACGUAAGGCACACGGUGAGUACUCAGUGAUAGCAAUUAUUGUUAUUAUAAUUAUGAGUAUUAUUUUGGGAUUACAAAAACAUCCCUCUUGAGACAGUGGAGACCAGGCCUGGGAGGAACCCGCUGGGGAUGGGUGGGUAGUCACCAAUCUAACAGGUUCUGAAAGGGGCCCACACGUGGGAAGGGAGGAGGCCUCUUAGAAGUAAGAAUGUCCCUCCCUUUCCUAUCUGUCUGCUUUCACUCACACCCACUCUGUGCCCAGCCCCGUGCUGGGCAUGGGGCACAGAGGUGAGACUGUGUAAUCUCUGCCCCUGCCGUCUCCUGCCCCGCGGAUCUCGGAGUCUGGCUGGGGAGGAGGACACGGGAACUAUCAGCUCCACCUCUGAUGGAUGCAAAGUGUGGCCUGCGACUGUCUCUUCAGGCAAAGACUAGGAGAAAGAGCCAUCCUAGUGGAAGGAAUUGCUUGGCCACGUACAGAGCCGUGACCUGCACUUGGGGGAACACGGCUGGCGAGACAGGUUCAGGGGAG